AACGUAGGUGGCGAGCGUUAUCCGGAUUUACUGGGCGUAAAGCGUGUGCAGGCGGGAUGGUAAGUGGGGUAUGAAAUCUCCCAGCUUAACUGGGAGGGGUUAUGCCAGACUGCCAUUCUAGAGUGCGAGAGAGGAAUGUGGAAUUCCGGGUGUAGUGGUGAAAUGCGCAGAUAUCAGGAGGAACACCGGUGGCGAAGGCGGCUUGCUGGGCCUUACCUGACGCUGAGGUGCGAAAGCGUGGGGAGCAAACAGG
rnacentral:rRNA from 1 species